UAGGGAAGGCAGCAGGGGGAAUAUUGCACAAUGGGCGCAAGCCUGAUGCAGCCAUGCCGCGUGUAUGAAGAAGGCCUUCGGGUUGUAAAGUACUUUCAGUCGUGAGGAAGGUGUUAAGGUUAAUAACCUUAGCAAUUGACGUUAGCGACAGAAGAAGCACCGGCUAACUCCGUGCCAGCAGCCGCGGUAAUACGGAGGGUGCGAGCGUUAAUCGGAAUUACUGGGCGUAAAGGGCACGCAGGCGGUUAAUUAAGUUGGAUGUGAAAUCCCCGGGCUUAACCUGGGAAUGGCAUUCAAGCUGGUUAGCUAGAGUCUUGUAGAGGGGGUAGAAUUCCAUGUGUAGCGGUGAAAUGCGUAGAGAUGUGGAGGAAUACCGGUGGCGAAGGCGGCCCCUGGACAAAGGACUGACGCUCAUGUGCGAAAGCGUGGGGAGCAAAC
rnacentral:rRNA from 1 species